rnacentral:rRNA from 1 species
ACGUAGGGGGCAAGCGUUGUCCGGAAUUAUUGGGCGUAAAGCGCGCGCAGGCGGUCUUUAAAGUCUGAUGUGAAAUCUUGCGGCUUAACCGUAAGGGGUCAUUGGAAACUGGAGGACUUGAGUGCAGAAGAGGAGAGUGGAAUUCCACGUGUAGCGGUGAAAUGCGUAGAGAUGUGGAGGAAUACCAGUGGCGAAGGCGACUCUCUGGUCUGUAACUGACGCUGAGGUGCGAAAGCGUGGGUAGCGAACAGGA